CCUAAUAGUAUAUAAGGAGGUGACCAGCAGCAGUGAAUCACUUCUCACUAAAACAAGAAAUCAUCUCACAAGAAGAAGGAAUACUCUCUAUCAAGGAAAGGAAUCAUGAAGACUCUACUCUCACUCUUCUGUCUGGUUACUUACCUGACCUGUGCUCUGAGUCAGCACCCAGUCUCUCUUGACAUGGCUUGUAAUAAAGCUCUUUCUGCAGUUGCUUGCUCUUUUGAGUUUACCAACAAUG